rnacentral:lncRNA from 1 species
AAGCGAAAGACUGACAGUCCCUCCCAAACAGUGGUCUGGGAACCAACUCCAAUGGACGGGCUCUAUCGCUGAGGAAGGAGGCGACUUUUGUCUUAACUGCUCCAUUUGUCACCUGGGGCUGAGGGACAGAUUAGGCUCUCUGCUUUAAGAGCCGUGGCAACAUGAAAUGUCUGUGGGGGAUCUACCCAGAAAUGGAAAAGAAUGGCGUCCUAGUGUCUUUGUGGCAUGUUUCCAUCAAUCCCCAUCCAGGACAAAACCAGAAGUGAGGAGCCAGGCAGAUGAGGUUUGCCUAUAGACACCAGUCUAAAGCUGGAGGACUCUUAGUUCAGGUUGUACCUUGAGAAGAAAUGAAGCAGUUCCAACACACUGAAAUUUUAACGAGAAUAUUUCUCUGUUUCAUCUCCAUCCUUCCAUCUGGAACAACAUCUGGUCAGGUUUGGUAAAUCUUUGGCUCAGGCUAGUAAACCACAUGAACUUGGGACUUCUGAGAUAUGAUGGAGCUAAAACUAAGUCCAAGUUACCCAAGAAUGGACAAAUCAUUCCAGUUUCUGUUUUAAUCAACAUUGGAAUUAGGUGGCUAUUUGAAUUUCCAACCUGAGUGAGAUAGGGAGAUCUUCUUGUUGUCUGGUUUGUUUUUUCUGUCAUAUCCUACUCAUUGUAUCCCCAUUUUGGGGUUUUCUUGACAAAAUACUGGAGUAGUUUGCUCUAGUUCUCUAGCUUAUUUCACAGAUGAGAAAACCAAGGCAAACAGAGUUAAGUGACUUGCCCAGGGUCACACAGCUAGUAAGUGUCUAAGACCAGAUUUGAACUUGGAAAGAUGAGCCUUCCUUAUUCCAGCGCUGGCACUCUAUUGCAUCACCUAGCUAUCCCAGGGUAAUCCAGUUGCCAAAACAAAGCACAAAACACAAAAGGUGAAACUUACAGAGAGGCAGAUUUUGACUUGUUAUAACAAUAAACCUCCUAAAAAUUAGAGGCGUUGCA